rnacentral:rRNA from 1 species
GACAGAGGGGGCAAGCGUUGCUCGGAAUUACUGGGCGUAAAGGGCGCGUAGGCGGGAUAGCAAGUCGGUCGUGAAAUCCUUCGGCUCAACCGAAGAACGUCGAUCGAUACUGCUGUUCUUGAGGGUUGCAGAGGAGACUGGAAUUCCCGGUGUAGCGGUGAAAUGUGUAGAGAUCGGGAGGAACACCGGUGGCGAAGGCGGGUCUCUGGGCAAUUCCUGACGCUGAGGCGCGAAAGCGUGGGGAGCAAACGGG